UUGACUCGAGUAAUGAACAAGGAGCCAGGCUGCUGGUAUGAGUGACGUCAUUUCCCGAUCUGGCUUGACUAAAGAAUCCCCCAGUCAGAUCACUCAGUGUUCUUUGACCUACGUUUUUGUACGCUUUGUGAUAAUUGUUUUUUUACAUUUAACUUGAAAAUAAUUAUUUUACGAUGUCUCCCAUGAAGAUUGUUGCCUCAGAUAGUGCUGGAAAGAAAAGGAAGGAAGCCAUGGUCGUUGAAACUAAGAAAGAAAUUAUAGAUAAACAUAAGCGUAGUGUUAGAGUGACGGAAUUGGCGAAGAUUUACGGCCGUUUGACAUCGACGAUCUGCACUAUUCUGAAGAAGAAAGAAGAAAUUGAAACUUGAUGUGGCCAUAAGAGUUACCGUUACUGCCAAGCACCACCUAAAAUUCCUAAAAGAUGUUGAGAAGCUGUUGUUGGUGUGGAUUAACGAGAAGCCAUAAAAGGCAAUUCGGUGUCGGAAGCUAGGAUAAAGGGUUAGACCUCUCCCUAAGGCCUCACCUUGGAAGCAGUUUAACAGAGCCCAUGCAAAAGGAAUUAUAGCGUAUCCUAACUAAUGCACUUGAAAAAGAAACAUUGGGAAAAGAAUAUGAAGAGAUGCUUAAUAAGAAGCGAAAAAAGAAGAGAUAUAUAAAGGAAGGGAAAAGAAAAAGUUAAAAAAAAAAGGGAAAAAGUGGUUUGAAGAAGAGGAUUUUGAGCUCAGAUACAGAUUCUAGAACAGAAAAGUGACUUUGCUUAACUUGCGAAGAUGCCUAAAGUAACUCUGUUUAAGAAGAAUGAGUAUAAAAUGUGCGCAUAUGUUAAAUAUGUGAUAGGAAACAAUCUGGCAUUUGUUUGUAUUGAUUGAAAUUCUCAUGAAGACUGACUUUUAUGUUGAUUGGUUCAAUAAUUUUAUCUUAAUUGUACUAUAAAACACUUGACAUCAUUCAGUGUUCUUGUAUCAAGUAAUAAUAAUCAUAUGUUUUUAAAAAA